rnacentral:rRNA from 1 species
GAACGCUAGCUACAGGCUUAACACAUGCAAGUCGAGGGGCAGCAUGGUCUUAGCUUGCUAAGGCCGAUGGCGACCGGCGCACGGGUGAGUAACACGUAUCCAACCUGCCGUCUACUCUUGGACAGCCUUCUGAAAGGAAGAUUAAUACAAGAUGGCAUCAUGAGUCCGCAUGUUCACAUGAUUAAAGGUAUUCCGGUAGACGAUGGGGAUGCGUUCCAUUAGAUAGUAGGCGGGGUAACGGCCCACCUAGUCUUCGAUGGAUAGGGGUUCUGAGAGGAAGGUCCCCCACAUUGGAACUGAGACACGGUCCAAACUCCUACGGGAGGCAGCAGUGAGGAAUAUUGGUCAAUGGGCGAGAGCCUGAACCAGCCAAGUAGCGUGAAGGAUGACUGCCCUAUGGGUUGUAAACUUCUUUUAUAAAGGAAUAAAGUCGGGUAUGGAUACCCGUUUGCAUGUACUUUAUGAAUAAGGAUCGGCUAACUCCGUGCCAGCAGCCGCGGUAAUACGGAGGAUCCGAGCGUUAUCCGGAUUUAUUGGGUUUAAAGGGAGCGUAGAUGGAUGUUUAAGUCAGUUGUGAAAGUUUGCGGCUCAACCGUAAAAUUGCAGUUGAUACUGGAUAUCUUGAGUGCAGUUGAGGCAGGCGGAAUUCGUGGUGUAGCGGUGAAAUGCUUAGAUAUCACGAAGAACUCCGAUUGCGAAGGCAGCCUGCUAAGCUGCAACUGACAUUGAGGCUCGAAAGUGUGGGUAUCAAACAGGAUUAGAUACCCUGGUAGUCCACACGGUAAACGAUGAAUACUCGCUGUUUGCGAUAUACUGCAAGCGGCCAAGCGAAAGCGUUAAGUAUUCCACCUGGGGAGUACGCCGGCAACGGUGAAACUCAAAGGAAUUGACGGGGGCCCGCACAAGCGGAGGAACAUGUGGUUUAAUUCGAUGAUACGCGAGGAACCUUACCCGGGCUUAAAUUGCAGAUGAAUUACGGUGAAAGCCGUAAGCCGCAAGGCAUCUGUGAAGGUGCUGCAUGGUUGUCGUCAGCUCGUGCCGUGAGGUGUCGGCUUAAGUGCCAUAACGAGCGCAACCCUUGUUGUCAGUUACUAACAGGUUCCGCUGAGGACUCUGACAAGACUGCCAUCGUAAGAUGUGAGGAAGGUGGGGAUGACGUCAAAUCAGCACGGCCCUUACGUCCGGGGCUACACACGUGUUACAAUGGGGGGUACAGAGGGCCGCUACCACGCGAGUGGAUGCCAAUCCCCAAAACCUCUCUCAGUUCGGACUGGAGUCUGCAACCCGACUCCACGAAGCUGGAUUCGCUAGUAAUCGCGCAUCAGCCACGGCGCGGUGAAUACGUUCCCGGGCCUUGUACACACCGCCCGUCAAGCCAUGGGAGCCGGGGGUACCUGAAGUGCGUAACCGCGAGGAGCGCCCUAGGGUAAAACUGGAG